rnacentral:rRNA from 1 species
GCGUUGUCCGGAAUUAUUGGGCGUAAAGAGCUCGUAGGCGGCUCAGCAAGUCGGCUGUGAAAUCCCGAGGCUCAACCGCAGAAUUGCCUUCUAGACUGCCGUGCUUGAGCACAGUAGAGGCAGACGGAAUUCCCGGUGUAGCGGUGGAAUGCGUAGAGAUCGGGAAGAACACCGGUGGCGAAGGCGGUCUGCUGGGCUGUUGCUGACGCUGAGGCGCGACAGCGUGGGGAGCAAACAGG